AAAGCCAAUAAAUAGCACCCAGGGAUCGGGUCUCUCUGGUGAUUAGAUGGAUUGGGGGUUCCCGGCGAGUAGUACAAUAUCCCGGAGGAAACGUUCCCAUAAAAACACCUGACUUACCCUGUGUUGUAUAACAUGUGUAGUUACCUGGAUACACUGUGACUCCAUCAGGUGGUUUGGUAUCCUUCUGGAUUAGUGGAUAUGCUUUUUUCCAUGACUCACAUAUGUCUCAUUAUUUGUCUGUAUGUAAAGGCUUAGGAAACAGUUUUCUACCUCUGGGGGUAGGUUCAAGGGUACAGUGCCUAGG